AGCGCCAUCUUCAGGAUGACUUCUGGGCCCUGCCCUUCUUCCAGCCCUGCCUCGGGCUGAACCUGUGCCAGAAGCUGGCACUGAAACAGGCCACUCGGAGCAGCUGUCCAAUGACCCCGGGAGCGGAGAACUACUUUAGGACCUGGGGUGGAGAUGUCGCUUGAGGAGGGCAAAGCAGAAUAUGAGAUGGUGUGGGACUUCUGGGUGCCCCAAAAGCACCUUUUCCUGGCAAUGCGACCCAAGGCGAGCUGUUUCGCCAUCUUCCUGACAGUCUGCGCUCCCACCCCGGAGCCCCGCUCUCCCUCCCCGUCCUGCCUCUGCAGUUUGCUCCCGUUCCACUAGCUGCCGGGUUGCUGUGAAGACAAAAGAUGCUUAGAACAUGGCCGGAUACAGAGUGAGCCCUGAAAUGCUAGCUGAAAAGUGUGCUGACUUUCAUAGCGCGAGUGCUGUGGUCCGCAAACCCUCCCUGCGUGCACACGUCCACCCCUCCUAGUCGCCUCUGCUCAGCCCAGCCCCUCCGUCUAGAAUGCUCUUCUCUGCUGGCCGACUCUACUCACCCUGCCAGGGCCACUUGCCUCCCGUUUCCUUCUGGUAAAUGCUGCAUGGUGCUUUCUACAGUGCUGCUCGGCCUGGGCUGGGUGGUGGUGGGCGUGUCAGGUACGUGAAGCCAGCCAUAGGCCACACCUGGCACAUCCUCCUGGAGGGUUCAUUUACUUGAUAAGUAAGUUCAUUCAUCUUUACGUCUAGAGUCCAGACGUAUCAUGGAGUAGAAUGCAAAACUCACCAGAGCUUUUUAAGAUCAAACUCAUAACUACUAAGAAUAUUCAGAGUGGGGCUGGGCGAGUGGUGCGAUGGUUAAGAGCUGGCUUGGGA